rnacentral:rRNA from 1 species
CUGAGAGGAUGACCAGCCACACUGGAACUGAGACACGGUCCAGACUCCUACGGGAGGCAGCAGUGGGGAAUAUUGCACAAUGGGCGCAAGCCUGAUGCAGCCAUGCCGCGUGUAUGAAGAAGGCCUUCGGGUUGUAAAGUACUUUCAGCGGGGAGGAAGGGAGUAAAGUUAAUACCUUUGCUCAUUGACGUUACCCGCAGAAGAAGCACCGGCUAACUCCGUGCCAGCAGCCGCGGUAAUACGGAGGGUGCAAGCGUUAAUCGGAAUUACUGGGCGUAAAGCGCACGCAGGCGGUUUGUUAAGUCAGAUGUGAAAUCCCCGGGCUCAACCUGGGAACUGCAUCUGAUACUGGCAAGCUUGAGUCUCGUAGAGGGGGGUAGAAUUCCAGGUGUAGCGGUGAAAUGCGUAGAGAUCUGGAGGAAUACCGGUGGCGAAGGCGGCCCCCUGGACGAAGACUGACGCUCAGGUGCGAAAGCGUGGGGAGCAAACA